rfam:Marine metagenome ctg_1101668430728, whole genome shotgun sequence.
UGGCAGGGCUUCCUGCCCUUCCGUAACCGUCUCCUCGGAGAC